CUUUUUCCUUAAAACCUGUAGACUUCUGCUGCCAUGUCUCUGAAUGCUCUGAGGUGCAUGAGACUGGAGAUCGGCAGAGCACAGUCUG